CAACACCCAGAAAUCAAUGAACAACUACCUCACAAAAAAUACACCUUCUAGCUAGCAUAUGCUUUAAUAGAUAACCAUUGUGCCGGUGCACAUUUAGUACAAACUACAAAAGCCAUCCUAAAAAGGGAAACAUAAUAGUUGAUGAAAACACAAAGAAGCAUCAUUUUAAGCUUCUUUGGAACAACUUGGCAAUUGACACCCA
rnacentral:lncRNA from 1 species